AGAAUUUAGUGCAGCCAAGGAUGACUUGCCGGCGUAGACAAUACUCAAAUACUAAUUAUUAUUGUAUUUUUCCGGCAAGUCUGUCCUUGGCUACAUUGGUUUCUCU
rfam:Theobroma cacao cultivar Matina 1-6 chromosome 9, whole genome shotgun sequence.